AUAUUUUUAAUUCAUCGAGGAUGAGAAAAUUGAUUAACACAAAAUCUUUUCAUGUCUUUUCUGAUGAGAGACUAGCUGAAUCCAAGAAGAGAAGCCCUUGAAGAGUGUAUUCUAUUCUAGACAAGCAUUCACACAUUGGCUUCUUUGGUGCCAGGAUGUUUCUGAUCAGCAUGAAAACUGCGCAGGAGCUUUUCUGUCUUGCAGAGCUAGUUAAUGAGAUUGUUGCUGCCUUCAGAUUCUAUAAAGGACUUCUCCAAUAUUGGGUUAAAGAAUGAAGAAAGGAUCAAAUUGAGACAUCCAGGGGGGAAGAGUUCCCUGGCAAAACUCCAAUCUGCCUGAGCACUG
rnacentral:lncRNA from 10 species